GGGGCGGUGGUCCAGUCUGGUCUAAGAUCCCGGUCUCGGGAGCCGGAGAUCGCGGGUUCAAAUCCCGCCCGCCCCA
rnacentral:tRNA from 1 species